AUAAACACACACACUCU
rnacentral:miRNA from 1 species